UGCUACCUGAGUUCAAGUGAUUCUCCUGCCUUGGCCUCCCAAGAACAGAAGUGGACUUGGGCUGUCCACCCCCACCACUCUUGCUGAGGUGUCUCACUACUACCCAGACGUGUGAAUUCAUGUGACAGCUGGUAUGAGUUGUGGUCACAGAACAAAGGAGGCUAAGCGGGCAUGAUUCUCAACUUUGGCUUCAUUCAUGCCAUUUUCUACCAGUUAAGCCUCUAGAGUCAAACUUGAAGAACUAUCAAGUGGAACUCUUGAAGAAUGGACUUUCUUUCCACAGUGAAUACUUCAUUGAUUUUCACUGGUUCCCUGAAUAAAGCAGCAAGAAACUCA